UCAGGGGUUCAAGGGAGGAAAAUAAAGAAAAGGCUCAGACAGGGUGAGCUACUGAGCUGGCAGGUCAGAGAGAUGACGCAAAGAAAGUCUGUGCAGAAUUUUGAGAAAUUGGAGGGUAACUUUGAACUGGAGACAGAGAAGGAUUGAGUCAGCUGCUUAGUUUAGCCUCACAAAGGUGCAGUGUGUGUUCUCUUUUGGGAUGCAAAACACACACUUAACUCUGAGACCAGGUUUUGAGUAGUGUAUUGCCAGAUCACCAGCUGCAAGUUAGAGUGCUAGAGUCCUUUUCCAAAAGUACAUUUGCUUACGUGUGACAGACUGAGAAUAUCCUGAAAAACCUUAUGGGAUUAAGCAGGAAGACAAGAUUAAUGCAAUCCCUGGAAGGUAUUAGGAACUUUAAAGAUCUUUUUGGAACAAUGUGUGCAAAGUGGAUUUCCUAGGAAGUACCUUGGGGUUAGGAGAAUGCAAAUUUUACCCUUUGAAGGCAACCUUUUGAAGAUAUGCCCCGGGGAGGCGAGGGGAGGAGAGAGAGACCAGGAUGUUAAACACUAGGUGGACAGCAACAUUUUUGCAAUUUAAAGCAUCUAAUUGAAAAUUCCUUUGUAAGUAGUAUAUGAGGACUCACUACUGCCUUGAAUCAGUGUUCUCUGCAGCCCAAGUAAUGGGAUAGCUGCCAUAACAGCCCUUGAGGAAUUCCACCAUGAUUUCAACAAUUUCCAUCCCACCAUCAACCUCAGCCUGGACCAGUCCACACAAGAGAUUCACUUCCUGGACACUAUGGUGCUAAUAAGCGAUGGUUACAUA